GAAUGCGGAGGCUAACCAUGCAAGUUCGAAGCGGAACGACACUUAACAAUCCCUUUCGGGUGCGUUAAUGGGCGUCGAAGCGGCGGACGGGUGAGUAAUGCCUAGGAAAUUGCCUUGAUGUGGGGGAUAACCAUUGGAAACGAUGGCUAAUACCGCAUAAUGCCUACGGGCCAAAGAGGGGGACCUUCGGGCCUCUCGCGUCAAGAUAUGCCUAGGUGGGAUUAGCUAGUUGGUGAGGUAAUGGCUCACCAAGGCGACGAUCCCUAGCUGGUCUGAGAGGAUGAUCAGCCACACUGGAACUGAGACACGGUCCAGACUCCUACGGGAGGCAGCAGUGGGGAAUAUUGCACAAUGGGCGAAAGCCUGAUGCAGCCAUGCCGCGUGUAUGAAGAAGGCCUUCGGGUUGUAAAGUACUUUCAGUUGUGAGGAAGGGGGUAGCGUUAAUAGCGCUAUCUCUUGACGUUAGCAACAGAAGAAGCACCGGCUAACUCCGUGCCAGCAGCCGCGGUAAUACGGAGGGUGCGAGCGUUAAUCGGAAUUACUGGGCGUAAAGCGCAUGCGGGUGGUUCAUUAUGUCUUAUGUGAAAACCCGGGGCUCAACCUCGCAACUGCGUUUGAAACUGGUGAACUAUAGUACUGUAGAGGGGG
rnacentral:rRNA from 1 species